AUUGAACGCUGGCGGAAUGCUUUACACAUGCAAGUCGAACGGUAGAGGGGGGCAACCCCCUUGAGAGUGGCGAACGGGUGAGUAAUAUAUCGGAACGUGCCCAGUCGUGGGGGAUAACGUAGCGAAAGUUACGCUAAUACCGCAUACGAUCUAAGGAUGAAAGCGGGGGAUCGCAAGACCUCGCGCGAUUGGAGCGGCCGAUAUCAGAUUAGGUAGUUGGUGAGGUAAAGGCUCACCAAGCCAACGAUCUGUAGCUGGUCUGAGAGGACGACCAGCCACACUGGAACUGAGACACGGUCCAGACUCCUACGGGAGGCAGCAGUGGGGAAUUUUGGACAAUGGACGCAAGUCUGAUCCAGCCAUUCCGCGUGCAGGAUGAAGGCCCUCGGGUUGUAAACUGCUUUUGUACGGAACGAAAGGUUUGUCUUAAUACGAUGAGCUCAUGACGGUACCGUAAGAAUAAGCACCGGCUAACUACGUAG
rnacentral:rRNA from 1 species